UACGGAGGGUGCAAGCGUUAAUCGGAAUUACUGGGCGUAAAGCGCACGCAGGCGGUUUGGUAAGUCAGAUGUGAAAUCCCCGAGCUUAACUUGGGAACUGCAUUUGAAACUGGCAAGCUAGAGUCUUGUAGAGGGGGGUAGAAUUCCAGGUGUAGCGGUGAAAUGCGUAGAGAUCUGGAGGAAUACCGGUGGCGAAGGCGGCCCCCUGGACAAAGACUGACGCUCAGGUGCGAAAGCGUGGGGAGCAAACAGG
rnacentral:rRNA from 1 species